GGCGUGCCUAACACAUGCAAGUCGAGCGAAUGAAGUUCCUUCGGGAAUGGAUUUAGCGGCGGACGGGUGAGUAACACGUGGGCAACCUGCCUCAUAGAGGGGAAUAGCCUUCCGAAAGGGAGAUUAAUACCGCAUAAGAUUGUACUACCGCAUGGUACAGCAAUUAAAGGAGCAAUCCGCAAUGAGAUGGGCCCGCGGCGCAUUAACUAGUUGGUGAGGUAACGGCUCACCAAGGCGACGAUGCGUAGCCGACCUGAGAGGGUGAUCGGCCACAUUGGGACUGAGACACGGCCCAGACUCCUACGGGAGGCAGCAGUGGGGAAUAUUGCACAAUGGGGGAAACCCUGAUGCAGCAACGCCGCGUGAGUGAUGACGGCCUUCGGGUUGUAAAGCUCUGUCUUCAGGGACGAUAAUGACGGUACCUGAGGAGGAAGCCACGGCUAACUACGUGCCAGCAGCCGCGGUAAUACGUAGGUGGCGAGCGUUGUCCGGAUUUACUGGGCGUAAAGGGUGCGCAGGCGGAAGAUUAAGUCGGCGGUGAAAUUUUGCAGCUCAACUGUAAAAGUGCCAUCGAUACUGGUUUUCUUGAGUGUGGAUGAAGUAGGCGGAAUUUGUGGUGUAGCGGUGAAAUGCAUAGAUAUCACGAGGAACUCCGAUUGCGCAGGCAGCUUACUAGGCCAUAACUGACGCUUAGGCACGAAGGCGUGGGGAUCAAACAGGAUUAGAUACCCUGGUAGUCCACGCAGGUAAACUAUGAUUACUCGCUGUUUGCGAUACACCGUAAGCGGCUCAGCGAAAGCGUUAAGUAAUCCACCUGGGGAGUACGUUCGCAAGAAUGAAACUCAAAGGAAUUGACGGGGGCCCGCACAAGCGGAGGAACAUGUGGUUUAAUUCGAUGAUACGCGAGGAACCUUACCCGGGCUUGAAAUGCAUCUGACAGGAGCAGAGACGCUCUCUUCCUUCGGGACAGAUGUAUAGGUGCUGCAUGGUUGUCGUCAGCUCGUGCCGUGAGGUGUCGGCUUAAGUGCCAUAACGAGCGCAACCCUCAUCAUUAGUUACCAUCAGGUUAAGCUGGGGACUCUAAUGAGACUGCCAUCGUAAGAUGCGAGGAAGGUGGGGAUGACGUCAAAUCAGCACGGCCCUUACGUCCGGGGCGACACACGUGUUACAAUGGGUGGUACAAAGGGCAGCUACAUGGCGACAUGAUGCUAAUCUCCAAAACCACUCUCAGUUCGGAUCGGAGUCUGCAACUCGACUUCGUGAAGCUGGAUUCGCUAGUAAUCGCGCAUCAGUCACGGCGCGGUGAAUACGUUCCCGGGCCUUGUACUCACCGCCCGUCAAG
rnacentral:rRNA from 1 species